UACGAACCGUACAAACGUUAUUCGGAAUCACUGGGCUUAAAGGGUGCGUAGGCGGCCACGUAAGUGAGAUGUGAAAUCCCUCGGCUCAACCGAGGAAGUGCAUUUCAUACUGCAUGGCUUGAGGGAGACAGGGGUAAGCGGAACUGAUGGUGGAGCGGUGAAAUGCGUUGAUAUCAUCAGGAACACCGGUGGCGAAAGCGGCUUACUGGGUCUCUUCUGACGCUGAGGUACGAAAGCUAGGGGAGCGAACGGG
rnacentral:rRNA from 1 species